CAUGCACGGCGACGAUAUAGCAUGCUAGUCGCACGAGUUCAGACUCGUGGCGAAUAGCUCAGUAACACGUGGCCAAACUACCCUUCGGAGCACGAUACCCUCGGGAAACUGAGGCUAAUAGUGCAUACCACAGUCCAGCUGGAAUGAGGACUGUGCCAAACGCUCCGGCGCCGAAGGAUGUGGCUGCGGCCGAUUAGGUAGACGGUGGGGUAACGGCCCACCGUGCCAAUAAUCGGUACGGGUCAUGAGAGUGAGAACCCGGAGACGGAAUCUGAGACAAGAUUCCGGGCCCUACGGGGCGCAGCAGGCGCGAAACCUUUACACUGCACGCCAGUGCGAUAAGGGGAUCCCAAGUGCGCAGGCAUAGAGCCUGCGCUUUUGUACACCGUAGGGAGGUGUACGAAUAAGGGCUGGGCAAGACCGGUGCCAGCCGCCGCGGUAAUACCGGCAGCCCGAGUGAUGGUCGAUCUUAUUGGGCCUAAAGCGUCCGUAGCUGGUCGCACAAGUCCAUCGGAAAAUCCACCCGCUCAACGGGUGGGCGUCCGGUGGAAACUGUGUGGCUUGGGACCGGAAGGCGCGACGGGUACGUCCGGGGUAGGAGUGAAAUCCCGUAAUCCUGGACGGACCGCCGAUGGCGAAAGCACGUCGCGAGGACGGAUCCGACAGUGAGGGACGAAAGCCAGAGUCUCGAACCGGAUU
rnacentral:rRNA from 1 species